AUCUGGUUGAUUCUGCCAGUGGUCAUAUGCUUGUCUCGAAGAUUAAGCCAUGCAAGUCUAAGUUCAAACGGAAUUUUGAUACGUGGAAACUGCGAAUGGCUCAUUAAAUCAGUCUUAAUUUGGUCGGAGGAAGCUCCCCUUUGUGGGGAGGUAUACGGAUAACCGUACAAAAGGUAGAGCUAAUACGUGCCGAGAAAGCGGGGCCUGUGUUUACACGGGGACUGCGGGUUUUAUUAGAAUUACAAGACGACGGCUUGUGUCGCAAGACGCGGGUUUGAGUUGAAUCAUGGUAACAAGAAUGGAUUGCGGGUUGUGCUUGCACGGCUGCGAUGUACCGAUGGAAAGUCUGCCCUAUCACCUGUCGACGGUAGGAUAGAGGCCUACCGUGGGGAUAACGGGUAACGGGGGAUUAGAGUUUUAUACCGGAGAGGGCGCCUGAGAGAUGGCGACCACUUCCAAGGAAGGCAGCAGGCGCGCAAAUUACCCAAUGGCGACAUGCCGAGGUAGUGAAGAACAAUAACGAUGGGCGGGUCUUAGAACUUGCCCAAUUGGAAUGAGUUUAAAUUACAACCCUAUUCGAGGAGCAACUGGAGGGCAAGUCUGGUGCCAGCAGCCGCGGUAAUUCCAGCUCCAGUAGUGUAUAUCAAAGUUGUUGCGGUUAAAAAGCUCGUAGUUGGAUUUCCCGGAUAGUUGGGUGUGGGAUGUGGUCAUUUGAACUGCGGCCAUGCCUUUACCGGUGGUUGUGCGACCUUUUUGGUGCGUACGGCAUGUACUUUGAACAAAUUAGAGUGCUCAAGACAGGCGAUUUUUUAUUGCUGUGAAUAGAUUAGCAUGGAAUACGGGUAUAAACUCUCUUCUCGGGAUUGUUGUUUUGACGAGGAGGGGGAAUGAUGGAUAGGGACAGGUGUGGGCAUUGAGAUUGUUACGUCAGAGGUGAAAUUCUUAGAUCGUAGCAGGAUUAGCAGACGCGAAAGCAUUUGUCAAGGAUGUUUUCAUUGAUCAAGAACGAAAGUUGGGGGAUCGAAGACGAUUAGAUACCGUCGUAGUCUUAACCAUAAACGAUCCCAGCUAGGGAUUGGAGGGGCCACGAGACUUUCUCACUACUUUUUCACCACCUUUACGAGAAAUCCAAAGCGUUUGGGUUCCGGGGGAAGUAUGGUCGCAAGGCUGAAACUUAAA
rnacentral:rRNA from 1 species